UACGUAGGCAGCAAGCGUUGUUCGGAAUUACUGGGCGUAAAGGGCGCGUAGGCGGCCUGCUAAGUCACACGUGAAAUCCCUCGGCUCAACCGGGGAACUGCGUGUGAUACUGGCGGGCUUGAAUUCGGGAGAGGGAUGUGGAAUUCCAGGUGUAGCGGUGAAAUGCGUAGAUAUCUGGAGGAACACCGGUGGCGAAGGCGGCAUCCUGGACCGAGAUUGACGCUGAGGCGCGAAAGCUAGGGGAGCAAACGGG
rnacentral:rRNA from 1 species